CGAGCUACUCGCCGGCUCUCGCGUUAGCUGGAUUCCGUAACCCCUCCUCCACCCUGCGCCUAUAACACCCGAAGCAGUCGUUUCCCCCUUCUCCUCCCUGUUCGCCCCACCAAUUACAUCGACGCCGUGUGCCUUUAACGAAAGGGAGAAAUCGCCGUCGCUGCUGAUCCGCGCAGGCAUCGCGCCGGGGGUGUUGCACCGGUGCGGGGAGCUUUGUCGCUUCUGCGGAAAGCUGCCAGACACUUUCGCGGGGGAAAAGGAGGCUCUCGUGGUCGGUGAUUGCUCACCGGAAUUGCCGAUCUACCGCGGGGCCGCGGGACAUCGUGGGCAGAAACACCGGCACGAUUAUAGUAAGUAAGAACACCCUAAUAGACUUCGGUUUUGCCCCCGCAAAAUGUAGAUACGUUUAAGGCUAAACCCUGGUGGUCGGAGUCUCGCGUGGCCGAGUCCGGCGAUGCCGCUGCCGGUACGGCUCCAAGCGCCGCCGUGCUCCGCGUUAGAGAAUUGGGGAGAAGCGCCCUGACCGUCGAUCAGGGAACACACGGCUAGGAUUAGUUUUGGGCAUACCGAUUCGCUAGGAUGGAUCGGGGUCGUCAAUCUGUCAAUCUAUGACUUGGAUUAGACCAUAGCAUACCCGCGUCUCUCGGCAAGUUUUCUUCCGUUCGAUCUGAUCCUAUGGCUGGCAUGGGGCGGUAGCGUGGUCGCGCGAUGGCCCUCGGAUCUGAAUCCAGCGAUCCGCGAGCGCACGCGGAGUUAGUUAAACCUAGAUCUAAUCUGGCGCGUACAUCUCUAAUCGGACGGCCAGAAUCUCGCAAUACCCCUUCGGCCGCGCAACUUGCAAAUGUGACCCCCUUGUUUUCAGGAAUUAAACCCGCCGUCCUUGACCGCUAUUCACUGAGUCUUGGAAUUAUUGCACCAGAGCCCCUGACCUUUCUGGAAAUUGAGGCCCAGUCCAUAAUAGUAUUAAAUCAGAGAAAAAUAAAUUAUAAAUGAAUUUUUAAUAUGAAAAUAAAUACUAGAACUUGAUAAAUCCAUAGGAAAUUCAUUUUUAAUCCAAAUCACUCCAUUCCAAUUUCUAAAUUUUUGUAAUAAUAUUCUCUAUCAUUUAUUGUCUCUGUUUUGACAUGAAAACAUUAUGAAAAUUAAUUUCUCAUUUAAUCCUAUUUCAAGCACGUUAAACCUUAGGAAAUUCAUAACUUGAAUUCUAUAACUCCAAAUUUAGUGAUUCCAGUUCCUAUGAUCUCAUUUUAAUGUAUAGAUUUUUACUGUAUAUUUUAUUUGUAUGUUUGAUGUGAUGUUAAUUUAUUCUAUACUAUGUAUGUAUUGUGUUGAUGCGAGUAGACGAACAAGCCACUGUGGAAUCUGAGGUUC
rnacentral:lncRNA from 1 species